UCCUAAACGCAGUAACCAAGGGCAUUGCACCAAGGCCACUGCAUGUGCCCUUUAAGGCAGAGGAAGAGCUCCUUGCUCGGGCCUUGGCACAUGGCCCCAAAACAGUAGAUGUGCCCGCCUCCCUCCCCACGCCCCCCCACAACAAUCAGGAGGAGCUCAGGGGGCAGGAGCACUGUGAGGACCGGGACACACCCGACAGCUUCAUCCCCUCUUCCUCCCCGGAGAGCGUGGUUGGCAUGGAGAUCAGCCGCUAUCCAGACCUGUCACUGGUCAAAAAGGAGCCUCCAUCUCCGUCUCUCUCCCCAGUCAUGCCUAUUUUCCCCCACUCCAGGGGGAAAGGUUCCGCAGCGAAGCUUUGCGAUAUCAAGACCGAGCCGUCAUCCAUUUUCUUUGGCUCUCCAUUCGGGAUACCACACAAUGGCUCCAGCACAGGUCUCGUUUCCAUAGCUAUAACCCUGAAGCCUGCUGCUGCCGAGGUGAGUCUCCAUUAUGUUUCCAACAGGAAGGGUGAAGGGGG
ensembl:lncRNA